rnacentral:rRNA from 1 species
GUAGGGCGCAAGCGUUAUCCGGAAUUAUUGGGCGUAAAGAGCUCGUAGGCGGUUUGUCGCGUCUGCUGUGAAAUCCCGAGGCUCAACCUCGGGCCUGCAGUGGGUACGGGCAGACUAGAGUGCGGUAGGGGAGAUUGGAAUUCCUGGUGUAGCGGUGGAAUGCGCAGAUAUCAGGAGGAACACCGAUGGCGAAGGCAGAUCUCUGGGCCGUAACUGACGCUGAGGAGCGAAAGGGUGGGGAGCAAACAGGCUUAGAUACCCUGGUAGUCCACCCCGUAAACGUUGGGAACUAGUUGUGGGGUCCUUUCCACGGAUUCCGUGACGCAGCUAACGCAUUAAGUUCCCCGCCUGGGGAGUACGGCCGCAAGGCUAAA